rnacentral:tRNA from 1 species
CGGGGCGUAGCGCAGCUGGCUUAGCGCGUCUGCUUUGGGAGCAGAAGGUCCUCGGUUCAAAUCCGAGCGCCCCGA